rnacentral:rRNA from 1 species
AUUGAACGCUGGCGGCAUGCUUUACACAUGCAAGUCGAACGGUAACAGGGAGCUUGCUCCGCUGACGAGUGGCGAACGGGUGAGUAAUGCGUCGGAACGUGCCGAGUAGUGGGGGAUAACGCAUCGAAAGGUGUGCUAAUACCGCAUACGUACUGAGGUAGAAAGUGGGGGACCUUCGGGCCUCACGCUAUUCGAGCGGCCGACGUCUGAUUAGCUAGUUGGUGAGGUAAAGGCUCACCAAGGCGACGAUCAGUAGCGGGUCAGAGAGGAUGAUCCGCCACACUGGGCCUGAGACACGUACCAUACGCCUACGGGAGGCAGCAGUGGGGAAUUUCGGACAAUGGGCGCAAGCCUGAUCCAGCCGUGCUGCUUGUCUGAAGAAGGCCUUCGGGUUGUAAAGGACUUUUGUCCGGGAGCAAAUGCCUGGUGUUAAUAGCAUCGGGAGCUGAGAGUACCGGAAGAAUAAGCACCGGCUAACUACGUGCCAGCCGCCGCCGUAACAC